GGAAGGAUCAUUAUUGAUUUUCAAAAGAUGUGCUGGCAAAUCCUUCAGGUUUGCAUGUGCACUCUACAAAAUCUCCUCUUACCCCAUUGUGCACACUCUAGUAGGCAAACAGAUUCACAGAGUAAUCUGUGCAAUCUGAACUUGUCUAUGUUUUUAUCAAACACCGAUAACAUUUCAGAAUGAUGUAUGUAGUAAGCUUUCUAGUAAGCUGAAAUCUAAUACAACUUUCAACAAUGGAUCUCUUGGUUCUCGCAUCGAUGAAGAACGCAGCGAAUUGCGAUAUGUAAUGUGAAUUGCAGAAUUCAGUGAAUCAUCGAAUCUUUGAACGCACCUUGCACCCUCUGGUAUUCCGGAGGGUAUGCCUGUUUGAGCGUCAUUAAUCUCUCAACAUGAGAAAUUUUUGUUUCUUGUGUUUGGAUAUUGAAGGUCUUGCUGGUGCAAAUAGCUGUCAGCUCCUUUUAAAUGUAUUAGCAGGGCAUGUAGGACUGGCCUCAGUUUGAUAAGAAUUUAUUAUCUAUGCUGUCGCUAGGUUUCCUCUUUGUGCUCAGCUUCAAAUUGUCUUUGGACUGUCUCUCGAGGCAACAAAACUCUUAUUGAUCGACCUCAAAUCAGGUAGGAUUACCCGCUGAACUUAAGCAUAUCAAUAAGCGGAGGAAAAGAAACUAACAAGGAUUCCCUUAGUAACUGCGAGUGAAGAGGGAAGAGCUCAAAUUUAAAAUCUGUCAGUCUUUGGCUGACCGAGUUGUAAAUUAGAGAAGUGCUAUCAGCGCUGGCCUGUGCAAAAGUCUCUUGGAAAAGAGCAUCAUAGAGGGUGACAAUCCCGUCUUUGGUACAGAGCUCCAGGGCUUCCAUGAUGUGCUCUCAAUGAGUCGAGUUGUUUGGGAAUGCAGCUCUAAAUGGGUGGUAAAUUCCAUCUAAAGCUAAAUAUUGGCGAGAAACCGAUAGCGCACAAGUACCGUGAGGGAAAGAUGAAAAGAACUUUGAAAAGAGAGUUAAACAGUACGUGAAAUUGUUGAAAGGGAAACGCUUGAAGUCAGUCGUGUCCUUCAGAAGUCAACCUGACUUUGGUCUGGCUUAUUUUCUGUUGGAUGGGUCAGCAUCAAUUUUGAUCAUUGGAUAAAGGCCUUGGGAAAGUGGCAUCCCUGGAUGUGUUAUAGCCCUUGGAUCAUAUACAAUGGUUGGGAUUGAGGAACUCAGUGUGAACUUGGGGCUUUGGCUCACAACACGCACUUAGGAUGCUGGCAUAAUGGCUUUAAUCGACCCGUCUUGAAACACGGACCAAGGAGUCUAACAUGCAUGCAAGUGUUUGGGUGGAAAACUCAAGCGCGCAAUGAAAGUGAAAGUUGAGAACCCUGUCGUGGGGUGCAUCGACGCCCGGACCUGACCUUUUGUGAUGGACCUGCGGUAGAGCAUGUAUGUUGGGACCCGAAAGAUGGUGAACUAUGCCUGAAUAGGGUGAAGCCAGAGGAAACCCUGGUGGAAGCUCGUAGCGAUUCUGACGUGCAAAUCGAUCGUCGAAUUUGGGUAUAGGGGCGAAAGACUAAUCGAACCAUCUAGUAGCUGGUUCCCGC
rnacentral:misc_RNA from 1 species